CCUACGGGAGGCAGCAGUGAGGAAUAUUGGUCAAUGGACGAGAGUCUGAACCAGCCAAGUAGCGUGAAGGAUGACUGCCCUAUGGGUUGUAAACUUCUUUUAUAAAGGAAUAAAACGCGGCACGUGUGCCUUUUUGCAUGUACUUUAUGAAUAAGGAUCGGCUAACUCCGUGCCAGCCGCCGCGGUAAUACGGAGGAUACGAGCGUUAUCCGGAUUUAUUGGGUUUAAAGGGAGCGUAGAUGGGUUGUUAAGUCAGUUGUGAAAGUUUGCGGCUCAACCGUAAAAUUGCAAUUGAUACUGGCAGUCUUGAGUACAGAUGAGGUAGGCGGAAUUCGUGGUGUAGCGGUGAAAUGCUUAGAUAUCACGAAGAACCCCGAUUGCGAAGGCAGCUUACUAAACUGUGACUGACAUUGAUGCUCGAAAGUGUGGGUAUCAAACAGGAUUAGAUACCCCAGUAGUC
rnacentral:rRNA from 1 species